GACAGAGGUCAGGUUAGACAGAGGUCAGGUUAGGCAGAGGUCAGGUUAGACAGAGGUCAGGUUAGACAGAGGUCAGGUUAGGCAGAGGUCAGGUUAGGCAGAGGUCAGGUUAGGCAGAGGUCAGGUUAGGCAGAGGUCAGGUUAGACAGAGG